rnacentral:lncRNA from 1 species
GCAGAAGUCCGGGGCUGGCAAGCGCUUCCUGCGCAGCGCCUAGGCGACCUGGAGUUUGUGACGCUGUGAUGGUCUAGAGGCUGGAGAUUCAAGAUCUGGGUGCCAUCAUUUUCUGGUUCUGUUGAUGACCCUCUUCCAGCAAUUCCCUUGACUGAAGACGUUCUCAUAACAUUAGGAAAAGAAGAGUUCCAAAAGCUGAGACAAGAUCUUGAAAUGGUACUGUCCACUAAGGAGUCAAAGAAUGAAAAGUUAAAGGAAGACUUAGAAAGAUAUUGCUUGUAUUGUUUUUCCAUGUCGAAAGGGAACAACGGUGGUUGGAUGAACAGCAACAGAUAAUGGAAUCUCUUAAUGUACUACACAGUGAAUUGAAAAAUAAGGUUGAAACAUUUUCUGAAUCAAGAAUCUUUAAUGAACUGAAAACUAAAAUGCUUAAUAUAAAAGAAUAUAAGGAGAAACUCUUGAGUACCUUGGGCGAGUUUCUAGAAGACCAUUUUCCUCUGCCUGAUAGAAGUGUUAAAAAGAAAAAGAAAAACAUUCAAGAAUCAUCUGUAAACCUGAUAACACUGCAUGAAAUGUUAGAGAUUCUUAUAAAUAGAUUAUUUGAUGUUCCACAUGAUCCAUAUGUCAAAAUUAGUGAUUCCUUUUGGCCACCUUAUGU